rnacentral:rRNA from 1 species
AUUGAACGCUGGCGGUAUGCUUAACACAUGCAAGUCGAACGCGAACGUACCUUCGGGUGCUAUUAGAGUGGCGGACGGGUGAGUAACGCGUGGGAAUCUACCUUAUAGUGGGGGACAGCCCGGAGAAAUCCGGAUUAAUACCGCAUACCUUCUACGGAAGAAAGGCUUCGGCCGCUAUUAGAUGAGCCCGCGUUAGAUUAGCUAGUUGGUGAGGUAAUGGCUCACCAAGGCAACGAUCUAUAGCUGGUCUGAGAGGACGAUCAGCCACAUCGGGACUGAGACACGGCCCGGACUCCUACGGGAGGCAGCAGUGGGGAAUAUUGGACAAUGGACGAAAGUCUGAUCCAGCAAUACCGCGUGUGUGAAGAAGGCCUGAGGGUUGUAAAGCACUUUCAGUUGGGAAGAUAAUGACGUUACCAACAGAAGAAGCACCGGCUAACUCCGUGCCAGCAGCCGCGGUAAUACGGAGGGUGCAAGCGUUAAUCGGAAUUACUGGGCGUAAAGCGCGCGUAGGCGGUUAUAUAAGUCAGAUGUGAAAUCCCUGGGCUCAACCUAGGAACUGCAUCUGAUACUAUAUAACUAGAGUUUUGGAGAGGUAAGUGGAUUCCGGUGUAGCGGUGAAAUG